CAAUAGCGUAUAUUAAAGUUGUUGCGGUUAAAAAGCUCGUAGUUGGAUUUCUGUUGAGGACGACCGGUCCGCCCUCUGGGUGAGUAUCUGGCUCGGCCUUGGCAUCUUCUUGGAGAACGUAACUGCACUUGACUGUGUGGUGCGGUAUCCAGGACUUUUACUUUGAGGAAAUUAGAGUGUUUCAAGCAGGCAUGCGCCUUGAAUACAUUAGCAUGGAAUAAUAAGAUAGGACCUCGGUUCUAUUUUGUUUGGUUUUCUUAGAGCUGAGGUAAUGAUUAAUAGGGAGUAGUUGGGGGUCGGAUUCGUAUUUAACUUAGUCAGAGGUGGAAAUUACUUUGG
rnacentral:rRNA from 1 species